rnacentral:rRNA from 1 species
GACGAACGCUGGCGGCAUGCCUAACACAUGCAAGUCGAACGAAGGCUUCGGCCUUAGUGGCGCACGGGUGCGUAACGCGUGGGAAUCUGCCCUUAGGUUCGGAAUAACAGCUGGAAACGGCUGCUAAUACCGGAUGAUAUCGCGAGAUCAAAGAUUUAUCGCCUGAGGAUGAGCCCGCGUUGGAUUAGGUAGUUGGUGGGGUAAAGGCCUACCAAGCCGACGAUCCAUAGCUGGUCUGAGAGGAUGAUCAGCCACACUGGGACUGAGACACGGCCCAGACUCCUACGGGAGGCAGCAGUGGGGAAUAUUGGACAAUGGGCGAAAGCCUGAUCCAGCAAUGCCGCGUGAGUGAUGAAGGCCCUAGGGUUGUAAAGCUCUUUUACCCGGGAAGAUAAUGACUGUACCGGGAGAAUAAGCCCCGGCUAACUCCGUGCCAGCCGCCGCAGUAA